rnacentral:misc_RNA from 1 species
UUGGGCGUGUGAGUGGUGUUUGGAAUGUUGGGAUGGUAGGCUCUGUGCUCUAGCAUCGAAMUACUAGACCUCAUCCUUUUCAAUGCUCAAGCAUUAUUUUUAGUUUUGCUUGGUAGUUGAAAGUGUUCCUGUAUUUGAUACCCAUGUUGGUGGAACUAAAUUUCUAUUUGCCUUAAUCCUUUUGGUGCCUUUGUUGGUCAUCAGGAGGAGCACAUAGUUUGAUCUGCCAAUCCUUGCAUGCCAUUUUGGUUGCAACGGUCGGUGGAUCAUAAGCUGGUUCUCUCGGAUGCAGAAUAUUCAAUGGGUCCAAGGAUAUAAUCCUUGUAUUUACCCUGUAUGGAAACUUGUCCCUCGAUACGAACGACAUCCUUUGUGUGUUAUGAUUUAUCCAAUGCCCACUGUGGUUGAGGAUACUUUGUGCGUGCAUCGGUGUCUUGAAGGAAUGCUACCUGGUUGAUCCUGCCAGUAGUCAUAUGCUUGUCUCAAAGAUUAAGCCAUGCAUGUGA